rnacentral:rRNA from 1 species
UAACACGUGGGGAACCUGCCCCAUAGUCUGGGAUACCACUUGGAAACAGGUGCUAAUACCGGAUAAGAAAGCAGAUCGCAUGAUCAGCUUUUAAAAGGCGGCGUAAGCUGUCGCUAUGGGAUGGCCCCGCGGUGCAUUAGUUAGUUGGUAAGGUAAAGGCUUACCAAGGCGAUGAUGCAUAGCCGAGUUGAGAGAAUGAUCGGCCACAUUGGGACUGAGACACGGCCCAAACUCCUACGGGAGGCAGCAGAC